rnacentral:tRNA from 1 species
GCGGGAUGUGGCGCAGCUUGGUAGCGCACUUGACUGGGGGUCAAGGGGUCGCAGG